rnacentral:rRNA from 1 species
GACAGAGGGUGCAAACGUUGUUCGGAAUUACUGGGCGUAAAGCGCAUGUAGGCGGCCAAGCAGGUCGGAUGUGAAAUCCCUCGGCUCAACCAAGGAAGUGCAUUCGAAACCGCAUGGCUCGAGUCCCGGAGAGGAAGGUGGAAUUCUCGGUGUAGAGGUGAAAUUCGUAGAUAUCGAGAGGAACACCGGUGGCGAAAGCGGCCUUCUGGACGAGGACUGACGCUGAGAUGCGAAAUCGUGGGGAGCAAACAGG